rnacentral:lncRNA from 1 species
CACAAGGAGUGUUUAGAACUUGUCCUACAACCCCAAUUAACAUCACUUCCUCUUCCCUGCCCGGACCUGUUUGUCCAGGGAUCUAGAUUGCUGCAGAGAUAUUGGGAUUAGGCACUGGGGGAAAAGGACAGGAAGGAAAAACCUGAAGUCAUAUUCCUGGCAGGAAAUAAGUGAAUUUCAUGACUCUUGAGUCAUUCUGCUUGCAAAAUGAUACUCCAUACCUGCAAAUUUAUCACUUGUAGGCAACAAAUGUCACUGUGAAUCAUGAGGCUCAAAACGUCACUAUCUGCUAGGAGGAUGUCAAGAGGUAGAUUUCACCUAAAAGAAACAAUUUGUUCUUAAGUGAUUGCGCCAGUACAUCCAAUUAUAUAAAGUCCUCCAACAGAUCAUUGUGGUGUGGUGGUAACCUUGGUUUGGAAAGAUAUGACAGCAGAGCUCAAAUCCCAGUGGCUCCAGUAAGAACUGCACAAGCCUGGACCCAGGGAGGAAUUGUCCAGCCUCACUGAGUUCAGAGAGGCUCAUUACCAGAAGGCAGGCCACCAGGUGAUAGCUUUAUCUUUGUGAUGAGUGUUUCUGGCCACAGCAACUCAUGAAGAUACAUCUAUCAAGGGGUGAUCUGUGCCUGUGGAGGGAGGAUUUGUCCUGAUGAAAUCAGGGAUCUAUUAAAUACUGCCCUAGAAAUCACAAAAGGAUGAAUUUAAUGAAUCAGAAGCUAAUAAACUGCCGUACAAAUUUAUUGGUUUUAAAUGAAGGCUGUUUCCAGAAGGACAAGAGCCCUAUACAUCAAUUCAUCCAAUACGCCCAUCCAGAACUCCAUUGUCGGUGUAACACCUGGCCCAAAGCCCACUGGCAUGGGACUCUCUCCUCACUGAUGGAGAUAAACGUCCUUCCCUAUUUGAUGGACAAGUGGAACUACGGAAAUAUCAGGAGAGCUCCAGCCUUCUUCAGGCCUCUUUAGGGACUCAUUAAGCUUUGAGUCUUUUUCAAGACUUUAAGCAUUGAGUUACUUCAGGCACUUCUGGCUCCUAGCUUCAAGAGAGAAGAUGGAAGAGACCAACCCCACUUCAGGUUACUGAAGGAAAAGACUCUGGGAAGAUAUGAGUGUUUCUGGCGGUCUCCGUCAUGUCUCUACUCCCAGUUUACUACUUCAAGGAGACUUCAGGGAGUUUGCUCUUAGGUGAGAUCCAGGACACCCUCUUUGGCUGA